rnacentral:rRNA from 1 species
GAUGAACGCUGGCGGCGUGCCUAACACAUGCAAGUCGAGCGGAGUUGGAAGAAGCUGCAGAGAUGUAGCGGGAGCCGACUUAGCGGCGAACGGGUGAGUAACACGUGGGCAAUCUGCCCUCUGGAGCGGGAUAACAGACCGAAAGGCCUGCUAAUACCGCAUGAGGCCUAGGAGUCGCAUGGCAUUUAGGUCAAAGGGGAAACCCGCCGGAGGAGGAGCCCGCGUCCCAUUAGCUAGUUGGCGGUGUAACUGACCACCAAGGCGAUGAUGGGUAGCCGGCCUGAGAGGGUGAACGGCCACAUUGGGACUGAGACACGGCCCAGACUCCUACGGGGGGCAGCAGUGAGGGAUUUUCGGCAAUGGGCGAAAGCCUGACCGAGCGACGCCGCGUGAGCGAAGAAGGC